UACGUAGGGGGGCUAGCGUUGUCCGGAAUCAUUGGGCGUAAAGAGCGUGUAGGCGGCCCGGUAAGUCCGCUGUGAAAGUCGGGGGCUCAACCCUCGAAUGCCGGUGGAUACUGUCGGGCUAGAGUGCGGAAGAGGCGAGUGGAAUUCCUGGUGUAGCGGUGAAAUGCGCAGAUAUCGGGAGGAACACCAAUUGCGAAGGCAGCUCGCUGGGACGUAACUGACGCUGAGACGGCGAAAGCGUGGGGAGCAAACAGG
rnacentral:rRNA from 1 species